GAGCCGCCUGGAUACCG
rnacentral:piRNA from 1 species